rnacentral:tRNA from 1 species
GCGGCAGUGGCGGAACGGCAGACGCGCUAGACUCAGGAUCUAGUGGGUUUAUACCCGUGGAGGUUCAAAUCCUCUCUGCCGCACCA